ACUCAAAGGAAUUGACGGGCACCCGCACAAGCGGUGGAGCAUGCUGUUUAAUUCGAAGAUACGCGAAGAACCUUACCUAGACUUGACAUCCCCGGCAAAGCUAUAGAAAUAUAGUGGAGGUUAUCCGGGUGACAGGUGGUGCAUGGUUGUCGUCAGCUCGUGUCGUGAGAUGUUCGGUUAAGUCCGAUAACGAGCGCAACCCUUAUCAUUAGUUACUAACAUUUAGUUGAGGACUCUAAUGAGACUGCCGGUGACAAACCGGAGGAAGGUGGGGAUGACGUCAAAUCAUCAUGCCCCUUACGUCUAGGGCUACAGGCGUGCUACAAUGGCUGGUACAAAGAGAUGCAAGACCGUGAGGUGGAGCUAAUCUAUAAAACCAGUCCCAGUUCGGAUUGGAGUCUGCAACUCGACUCCAUGAAGUUGGAAUCGCUAGUAAUCCUGAAUCAGAAUGUCAGGGUGAAUACGUUCCCGGGUGUUGUACACACCGCCCGU
rnacentral:rRNA from 1 species